GAUUUCCUUCUGGUUGAUGAGGUUGUUGAACCUCAUUGAUUGGAAGGAAUUCCUUCUGGUCAAUAAGGUAUAACAACCUCAUUGACUGGAAUGAAUUC
rnacentral:miRNA from 1 species